GACAGAGGGUGCAAACGUUGUUCGGAAUUACUGGGCGUAAAGCGCGUGUAGGCGGCCUCGCAAGUCGGGUGUGAAAGCCCUGGGCUCAACCCAGGAAGUGCACUCGAUACUGCAAGGCUUGAGUCCCGGAGAGGAAAGCGGAAUUCUCGGUGUAGAGGUGAAAUUCGUAGAUAUCGAGAGGAACACCGGUGGCGAAGGCGGCUUGCUGGACGGCGACUGACGCUGAGACGCGAAAGCGUGGGGAGCAAACAGG
rnacentral:rRNA from 1 species